CCUACGGGAGGCUGCAGUGGGGAAUAUUGCACAAUGGGGGAAACCCUGAUGCAGCGACGCCGCGUGAGUGAAGAAGUAUCUCGGUACGUAAAGCUCUAUCAGCAGGAAAGAAAAUGACGGUACCUGACUAAGAAGCCCCGGCUAACUACGUGCCAGCAGCCGCGGUAAUCCGUAGGGGGCAAGCGUUAUCCGGAUUUACUGGGUGUAAAGGGAGCGUAGACGGCGCUGCAAGUCCGUAGUGAAAGCCCAUGGCUUAACCAUGGUACUGCUCUGGAAACUGUAGAGCUUGAGUGCGGGAGGGGCAGGCGGAAUUCCUAGUGUAGCGGUGAAAUGCGUAGAUAUUAGGAGGAACACCAGUGGCGAAGGCGGCUUACUGGACUGUAACUGACGUUGAGGUGCGAAAGCGUGGGGAGCAAACAGGAUGAGAUACCCUUGUAGUC
rnacentral:rRNA from 1 species